AGAGUUUGAUCCUGGCUCAGGACGAACGCUGGCGGCGUGCUUAACACAUGCAAGUCGAACGGAAAGGCCCUUCGGGGUACUCGAGUGGCGAACGGGUGAGUAACACGUGGGUGAUCUGCCCUGCACUUUGGGAUAAGCCUGGGAAACUGGGUCUAAUACCGAAUAUGACCAUGCACUUCCUGGUGUGUGGUGGAAAGCUUUUGCGGUGUGGGAUGGGCCCGCGGCCUAUCAGCUUGUUGGUGGGGUAAUGGCCUACCAAGGCGACGACGGGUAGCCGGCCUGAGAGGGUGACCGGCCACACUGGGACUGAGAUACGGCCCAGACUCCUACGGGAGGCAGCAGUGGGGAAUAUUGCACAAUGGGCGCAAGCCUGAUGCAGCGACGCCGCGUGAGGGAUGACGGCCUUCGGGUUGUAAACCUCUUUCAGCACAGACGAAGCGUGAGUGACGGUAUGUGCAGAAGAAGGACCGGCCAACUACGUGCCAGCAGCCGCGGUAAUACGUAGGGUCCGAGCGUUGUCCGGAAUUACUGGGCGUAAAGAGCUCGUAGGUGGUUUGUCGCGUUGUUCGUGAAAACUCACAGCUUAACUGUGGGCGUGCGGGCGAUACGGGCAGACUUGAGUACUGCAGGGGAGACUGGAAUUCCUGGUGUAGCGGUGGAAUGCGCAGAUAUCAGGAGGAACACCGGUGGCGAAGGCGGGUCUCUGGGCAGUAACUGACGCUGAGGAGCGAAAGCGUGGGGAGCGAACAGGAUUAGAUACCCUGGUAGUCC
rnacentral:rRNA from 1 species